rnacentral:rRNA from 1 species
UACAGAGGGGGCAAGCGUUGUUCGGAAUUACUGGGCGUAAAGGGCGCGUAGGCGGCCUGUUAAGUCGAACGUGAAAUCCCCGGGCUCAACCCGGGAACUGCGUCCGAUACUGGCAGGCUUGAAUCCGGGAGAGGGAUGCGGAAUUCCAGGUGUAGCGGUGAAAUGCGUAGAUAUCUGGAGGAACACCGGUGGCGAAGGCGGCAUCCUGGACUACUACUGACGCUGAGUGAGCGAAAGCCAGGGGAGCAAACGGG